rnacentral:rRNA from 1 species
UCAUACAAUAAGCGGAGGAAAAGAAACCAACAGGGAUUGCCCUAGUAACGGCGAGUGAAGCGGCAACAGCUCAAAUUUGAAAUCUGGCUUCGGCCCGAGUUGUAAUUUGCAGAGGAAGCUUUAGGCGCGGCACCUUCUGAGUCCCCUGGAACGGGGCGCCAUAGAGGGUGAGAGCCCCGUAUAGUUGGAUGCCUAGCCUGUGUAAAGCUCCUUCGACGAGUCGAGUAGUUUGGGAAUGCUGCUCAAAAUGGGAGGUAAAUUUCUUCUAAAGCUAAAUACCGGCCAGAGACCGAUAGCGCACAAGUAGAGUGAUCGAAAGAUGAAAAGCACUUUGAAAAGAGGGUUAAACAGCACGUGAAAUUGUUGAAAGGGAAGCGCUUGUGACCAGACUUGCGCCAGGCUGAUCAUCCGGUGUUCUCACCGGUGCACUCGGCCCGGCACAGGCCAGCAUCGGUUCUCGCGGGGGGAUAAAGGUCUCGGGAACGUAGCUCCUCCGGGAGUGUUAUAGCCCGGGGCGUAAUGCCCUCGCGGGGACCGAGGUUCGCGCAUCUGCAAGGAUG